GGACUACUAGGGUUUCUAAUCCUGUUUGCUCCCCUAGCUUUCGUGCCUCAGUGUCAGGUGUUGUCCAGGGACUCGCCUUCGCCACUGGUGUUCCUCUCGAUAUCUACGCAUUUCACUGCUACACCGAGAAUUCCAGUCCCCCCUCCAAACCUCGAGUAAGAUAGUAUUCAAUGCAGUUUCCGGGUUAAGCCCGGAGAUUUCACAUCAAACUUACCCUACCACCUACGCACCCUUUACGCCCAGUGAAUCCGAACAACGCUUGGGACCUCUGUAUUACCGCGGCGGCUGGCAC
rnacentral:rRNA from 1 species